UACGUAGGGUGCAAGCGUUAAUCGGAAUUACUGGGCGUAAAGCGUGCGCAGGCGGUUUUGUAAGUCUGUCGUGAAAGCCCCGGGCUCAACCUGGGAAUUGCGAUGGAGACUGCAAGGCUUGAAUCUGGCAGAGGGGGGUAGAAUUCCGACGUGUAGCAGUGAAAUGCGUAGAGAUGUGGAGGAACACCGAUGGCGAAGGCAGCCCCCUGGGUCAAGAUUGACGCUCAUGCACGAAAGCGUGGGGAGCAAACAGG
rnacentral:rRNA from 1 species